CAGAGUUGCAAAACUCCCUAAACCAUUGUGAACCUACCUUCUACCGUUGCUUCGGCGGGCGGGCCUAGCCGCCCCCCCGGCCCCCCGCGGGCGCCCGCCGGAGGAUAACCAAACUCUUGACAUCAGUGGCCUCUCUGAGUAUUCUUUACUGAAUAAGUCA
rnacentral:misc_RNA from 1 species